AUGAAAAGAGAGAGCAGAGACGAAAAUCCAAAUCUGAGCCCGAGCUCAUCUGUACCUGCGCUCACUAAAAAAAUCAAAAUAAAUACUAAAAAAAUUAAAAAAAAUCCGAAAAAAAUUGGGGUGGUGGACAAUUUGAUGAGUGAGGUGCGCCCUAAUUUUCAAAACAUUUGGACUUAUGUGCAGCUCUCAGCAAAAAAGACAAAUCGGAGGUCUGUAAAAAUGUGUACUGUUCAUAUACUGUUUUGGUCUGAUUUGUCUUUUUGGCUGAGAGCUGCACAUAAGUCCAAAUGUUUUGAAAAUUGA
rnacentral:rRNA from 1 species